rnacentral:rRNA from 1 species
CCUACGGGAGGCAGCAGUGAGGAAUAUUGGUCAAUGGGCGGAAGCCUGAACCAGCCAAGUAGCGUGCAGGAUGACGGCCCUACGGGUUGUAAACUGCUUUUAUACGGGAAUAACGCGCCUUACGUGUAGGGCUUUGCAUGUACCGUAUGAAUAAGGACCGGCUAAUUCCGUGCCAGCAGCCGCGGUAAUACGGAAGGGCCGGGCGUUAUCCGGAUUUAUGGGGUUUAAAGGGUGCGCAGGCGGUCUGUUAAGUCAGCGGUCAAAGCCCGGGGCUCAACCCCGGCCCGCCGUUGAAACUGGCAGGCUAGAGUGGGAGAGAGGUAUGCGGAAUGCGCGGUGUAGCGGUGAAAUGCGUAGAUAUCGCGCAGAACUCCGAUGGCGAAGGCAGCAUGCCGGAUCCACACUGACGCUGAGGCACGAAAGCGUGGGUAUCGAACAGGAUUAGAUACCCUUGUAGUC